rnacentral:rRNA from 1 species
UACGGAGGGUGCGAGCGUUGUCCGGAAUCACUGGGCGUAAAGGGCGCGUAGGCGGCCUGAUAAGUAGGGGGUGAAAUCCUGCGGCUUAACCGCAGGGCUGCCUUCUAAACUGUCAGGCUUGAGCACAGUAGAGGCAGGUGGAAUUCCCGGUGUAGCGGUGGAAUGCGUAGAGAUCGGGAAGAACAUCAGUGGCGAAGGCGACUACCUGCCUGUUCUUGACGCUGAGGCGCGAAAGCUAGGGGAGCA